AUUGAACGCUGGCGGCAUGCCUUACACAUGCAAGUCGAACGGUAACAGGUCUUCGGAUGCUGACGAGUGGCGAACGGGUGAGUAAUGCAUCGGAACGUGCCCAGUAGUGGGGGAUAGCCCGGCGAAAGCCGGAUUAAUACCGCAUACGACCUGAGGGUGAAAGGGGGGGAUCGCAAGACCUCUCGCUAUUGGAGCGGCCGAUGUCAGAUUAGCUAGUUGGUGGGGUAAAGGCCUACCAAGGCAACGAUCUGUAGUUGGUCUGAGAGGACGACCAGCCACACUGGGACUGAGACACGGCCCAGACUCCUACGGGAGGCAGCAGUGGGGAAUUUUGGACAAUGGGCGCAAGCCUGAUCCAGCAAUGCCGCGGGCAGGAAGAAGGCCUUCGGGUUGUAAACUGCUUUUGUCAGGGAAGAAAUCUUCUGGGUUAAUACCUCGGGAGGAUGACGGUACCUGAAGAAUAAGCACCGGCUAACUACGUGCCAGCCGCCGCCGUAAAAC
rnacentral:rRNA from 1 species